rnacentral:ncRNA from 1 species
GACCAAGCUAAUAAGUGCAUAUGGUGAAUGCCUUGGCUAAGACUGUCGAUGAAGGACGUGGUAAGCUGCGUUAAGCGUCGGGGAGGUGCAAACAACCUUUGAUCCGGCGAUCUCCGAAUGGGGUAACCCACUGCAGAGUAAUCUGCAGUAUCCGAGAGGAAGGCAACCCGGGGAAGUGAAACAUCUCAGUACCCGGAGGAAAAGAAAUCAACCGAGAUACCGAAAGUAGUGGCGAGCGAAAUCGGUAUAGCCUAAACCAUUGUGUUUACACAAUGGGGUUGCAGGACCGCGUGAGUAGAGUUACCAAUCAAAAAGCUAAUUGAACGGUUUGGAAAAUCCGACCAUAGAAGGUGAAAGUCCUGUAAGUGAAAGUUUUUUGACUCGAAGCGGUAUCCUAAGUACCGUCGGACACGUGAAAUCUGGCGGGAAUCAGGGGGGACCACCCUCCAAGGCUAAAUACAAGUCUUAGACCGAUAGUGAACUAGUACCGUGAGGGAAAGGCGAAAAGAACCGCGGGAGCGGAGUGAAAUAGAACCUGAAACCGUAUGCAUACAAGCAGUUCGAGGCCUAUG